CAGGCCUAACACAUGCAAGUCGAACGAGAAAUCGGGCACUCAGGCAACUGAGUGCCGGAGAGUAAAGUGGCGCACGGGUGAGUAACACGUGGGUAACCUACCCCGGAAUCUGGGAUAACCUCGCGAAAGCGUUGCUAAUACCGGAUAUUGUCCUAUUGGUUGUGACCUUUGGGAUGAAAGGCAACCUCUUCAUGAAAGUUGUCGUUCAGGGAUGGGCCCGCGUACCAUUAGCUUGUUGGUGGGGUAACGGCUCACCAAGGCUACGAUGGUUAGCUGGUCUGAGAGGAUGAUCAGCCACACUGGAACUGAAACACGGUCCAGACUCCUACGGGAGGCAGCAGUGAGGAAUUUUGCGCAAUGGGGGAAACCCUGACGCAGCAACGCCGCGUGAGUGAAGAAGGCUUUCGGGUCGUAAAGCUCUGUCAAGUGGGAAAAAAGUCUGAUGAUUAAUAGUUGUCAGAUCUGAUGGUACCACUGAAGGAAGCACCGGCUAACUCCGUGCCAGCAGCCGCGGUAAU
rnacentral:rRNA from 1 species